UCGAGAAUCUUCGGCAAUGGGCGCAAGCCUGACCGAGCGACGCCGCGUGCGGGAUGAAGGCCUUCGGGUUGUAAACCGCUGUCAGAGGGGAUGAAAUGCAGGUGGGUUCUCCCAUCUGUUUGACAUAGCCUCAGAGGAAGGACGGGCUAAGUUCGUGCCAGCAGCCGCGGUAAGACGAACCGUCCAAACGUUAUUCGGAAUCACUGGGCUUAAAGGGUGCGUAGGCGGCGCGGAAAGUUGGGUGUGAAAUCCCUCGGCUCAACCGAGGAACUGCGCCCAAAACUGCCGUGCUUGAGGGAGAUAGAGGUGAGCGGAACUUAGGGUGGAGCGGUGAAAUGCGUUGAUAUCCUAAGGAACACCGGUGGCGAAAGCGGCUCACUGGAUCUCUUCUGACGCUGAGGCACGAAAGCUAGGGUAGCGAACGGGAUUAGAUACCCCCGUAGUCC
rnacentral:rRNA from 1 species